GCCUUAAUUAGUUUAAUUAAAACAACGAUUUUGUAAAUCGAAAAUAACUUAAGUUAUAAGGCU
rnacentral:tRNA from 1 species